rnacentral:rRNA from 1 species
UACGUAGGGUGCAAGCGUUUGUCCGGAAUUAUUGGGCGUAAAGAGCUCGUAGGCGGUCUGUCGCGUCGGCUGUGAAAACUCGGGGCUCAACCCCGAGCCUGCAGUCGAUACGGGCAGACUAGAGUGCGUGUAGGGGAGACUGGAAGUCCUGGUGUAGCGGUGAAAUGCGCAGAUAUCAGGAGGAACACCGGUGGCGAAGGCGGGGUCUCUGGGCCGAAACUGACGCUGGAGGAGCGAAAGCGUGGGGAGCAAACAGG